UACGUAGGUGGCAAGCGUUGUCCGGAUUUACUGGGCGUAAAGAGCGCGCAGGCGGUCGAAUAAGUCGAAUGUGAAAGCCCCCGGCUUAACUGGGGAGGGUCAUUCGAUACUGCUCGACUUGAAGGCAGGAGAGGGAAGUGGAAUUCCCGGUGUAGUGGUGAAAUGCGUAGAUAUCGGGAGGAACACCAGUAGCGAAGGCGGCACUCUGGGCCGGUACUGACGCUGAGGAGCGAAAGCGUGGGGAGCGAACAGG
rnacentral:rRNA from 1 species